GUUCGUUCUUGUUAUUCUGGAGCAGCUGGUAUGUGUGUGUUCUCAUGCAGGGCUCUGCCCUAGUUCCUCUUCUCCAGGCUCUAUUCAGGACAGAGGAAAUUAGGGCUCUAGCUCCUUUCCCCAUGUGCCCCUACACAGAACCUGGGAAGGCCAAGACUCCUGGCCUGGGAUAGACUGGGAGCUGAAGGUGAAAGACUAAUGGAUUCACCCUCCUCUUCCUUCUACUAGAACUCCUCCGAGUUCCCCUACACAAUUAACUCUUUACUGUUGGUGAUCCAGCUGCAAGCUGCUGAGACUGAAAUCAAAGACUUGCCGUCCGAGUUUGAGCUGGAGAAGUUUGAUUAUCUCACCACCAUUUGCCGAAGGAGCGGGACUGCUUGCUCUUUCAGCAGCUUCUGGAUCAGGUACAGCCCGUCAUGUGGCAUGACAGUAACUACAGCAACCUAGAUAAGAUCAGACACGAGUCGGUCUGGGAUGAGGACAGCGGCUGCUGAAAACACCUGGAGCCUGUCAUUCAAAAAACCAGCCUCCCUGCAGUUAAGAAAGCAGUUCCAUCACUGCCACAGACUAAGCCAGCCAGGAAGAGCGCCUCAGGCGAGAACGGAGAGCUGCUGAUGAUGUUGCAUACAUUGGCCACUAUCCCUCUAGCUCAGUGGUUCCCAAACUGUGGUUCGUGAAAUGUUACAGAGGAUUCUUGGGGAAAAAAUUCCCUAAUGGCGGACAGAGCUGUCCCUAGGAACUCCUGGCAUCACGGGGCUAGCAGCCCGGAGCUUCUGGAUUUCCAAGAGCUAAGCAGAUCAAAGCAAAUGUCUCUAUCACACUGAGAAGUUUUAAACUUCAAGACUUUUAAGAAAUGGAAAGGGAGGUGG